UACGGAGGAUGCGAGCGUUAUCCGGAUUUAUUGGGUUUAAAGGGUGCGCAGGCGGGCUGUUAAGCCGGCGGUAAAAAUUCAGGGCUCAACCCUGUCGAGCCGUCGGAACUGGCAGUCUUGAGUGGGCGAGAAGUAUGCGGAAUGCGUGGUGUAGCGGUGAAAUGCUUAGAUAUCAUGAAGAACUCCGAUCGCGAAGGCAAGUGUCCGGGGUGCAACUGACGCUGAGGCUCGAAAGUGCGGGUAUCAAACAGG
rnacentral:rRNA from 1 species